rnacentral:rRNA from 1 species
UACGUAGGGGGCGAGCGUUGUCCGGAUUCAUUGGGCGUAAAGAGCUCGUAGGCGGCUUGGCAAGUCGGGUGUGAAAACUCCAGGCUCAACCUGGAGAUGCCACCCGAUACUGCUAUGGCUUGAGUUCGGUAGGGGACCACGGAAUUCCUGGUGUAGCGGUGAAAUGCGCAGAUAUCUGGAGGAACACCGGUGGCGAAGGCGGCAUCCUGGACCAAUAUUGACGCUGAGGAGCGAAAGCCAGGGGAGCAAACGGG